rnacentral:sRNA from 1 species
GCAACAAUAAACAGCUCCAUGGCGAUGAUAUCGCUGAUCGAUAUUAAUAUCUCCUCGCUGGCCUUGCUGCCGUCAUCAGUUCCGAGACAGCCAGAAAUACAACAAAUUCAAGGUAGCCAAAGCCUGGCAGGAUGUCAGUCAGUCAGUAUGUAAUAUUGCAGCGUACAUAAGAUAGCAAUCAUCACCAUCAUCACCAUCAUCAUCAUCGUCAUCGUAAUAAAUAAUAGCAUAUCAGAUAAAUAAAGGGGGGGUGUCAUCCGCGUUGACGACGUGAUUGAUUUGGCCUUGGUUUUUUUGUUUUUUUGUUCGACUUCGACCUGCCCCCCGCCCUCCCCUCCCUUCCCUUCUUCCCGGUUUAUUUAUCGAUUUCGUUUGUAUCGGCCAUUUAUUUAUUUAGUCGCUGCCGUCCCGCGUGUCUGUCGCCGCCGCCGCGGGCUAUGUUGUUUACCUAUUCGCUGCGUGAUCUCGAGGCUGACGGCUGCAUUUUGCAAGUAUUCCCCCAGGGCGUAUUUCAACAAAGAACAAAGAAAUAAAAUCUAGAGAAGAGAGAAGAGCAACAGCCGAAGCAGCCGAGACGAAACGAAGCAGAAGGCAAGCAAGCGCCCAGAGAGCGGGACCGUUCGAGUUGUUGUUUAUAUAUGUAGUUGGUUAGUUAGUUACUCGUACGGAGUAAAUAGUCGUCCUGCUUGUGGUUCUUUUUUUCCCAACUCGUCUCGCCGCCUCACUCUUCUUGUCUCUCGCUCUGCGGGCUGGUCUGCUCGCCCUCGCCUCACCGACUCUUCCUUGCGAUCUGUCCAUCCUGUUAGGUCCAUCCUGUUAGGUCCAUCCUGUUAGACACGGACACCUGUCUGCUGUCUGUUGCCUGCUGUCUGCCUCUCUGCUGGCUGCCUCGUACGCCUAGUUAGUCGCUCUGAACCACGGCAUCAUGGUCUCGUUCCAAUGCGAGGCGUGCGGCGAUGUCUUCACAAAGAAGAAGACCGAUUCCCACCGUAAUCAGUGUCGCGGCGCCCGUUUCUCCUGUCUAGAUUGCUCGGUCGAAUUCCCUGGAACCUCCUAUAGAGCCCAUACGUCAUGCAUAUCAGAAGCCCAAAAGUACCAGGGUGUCCUCUACAAGGAGAAGCCAAACAAGCCCAAGAAAUCCAAGUCCGUGACAAUAGCCGAACCCCCGACUUCCUCCAAACCUACUAGGCCCCCUGACCCUUGGGUUGAAGAUACUUCAGAUGUUGACGAUACCAGAUCUGCCUCCCAUAAUUAUUCUGCCCCUCCGUCCGCUCCAAGCCCCCCCCAGACCACGCCUCAACAGGAACCCGGAAACGCUUCAACCCUUACCACUACGACCCAGCCUAAUGCUCGUGUGAAUGUGUUUGAUUUUCUUGACACGACAGCCACCCCCAAUGCAUCGAAAGUUUCCCUGGGAGGAUCCAAUGCGCCAAUGGUUAUGCUGAAAAAUGCACCCCCGCUUUUCAAUGCGCCUAAGGAGCUUGCAAAACUUGACAAUGGGAGGGACGAUGAGGUAAUUUACGAUGUGGCAUUUGAGGAAAACGGCUUCUCCUAUGGCGCGGACACCCUAGAGGCACCACUAUACCAAAACGGAGGUGCAAAUGGAUCCACGGCUUCUUUCAACAGUUUCAUGACCCCAGCUCCAAAGCGGAAUAAGGACCGGACGUCCCGCCGGGAUCGGGAUCGGGAUCGAGACCGGGAUCGCGCCACUUCCCCGGACCAGUACCACACUCCUCAUAACAAUCUGACUAGCACAGGUGACAAGAAGCGUAAGCGUGGCCAUGUUGAAGACAUUGAUGCCCAGAUGGCCAACUCGACUUCACAUGGCGGUGGCGACGUCCCAAUGAUCGACGCCCCGCCUUCAAGUUCCAUUGCUAACCCAUCAACCCCAACACUGAGCCACUCAGGGCUCACCGGUGGCCUUAAUCGCAUGAUGAGAGACAUUUCCCCACCUACUCCAGACGCGGCCUAUUGCAGCGCCGACGAAGGAGGAGAUGAUGGGCGCUACCAAUUCCAAGACCCAGCAUCGCCUAUCAAACGCACCCGCAGGGCAGAUAGUGACUCUAACCAUAACGGCAGCGGCAAUAACAAUAACAAUAACAGCAACGAUAAGAACAGCAAUGACUCCGUGAACGAGAACGACACCGCGCUCGCGCUCGCGAUCAAGGAUCGCGCAGACCACAUCAUGUCCCUACUCGCCCGCAACGGCAACGUCUUUCCCAAACCAAAACCCAAACCGUACAACUCCUACCCUCUCUCCCUUGAGGCGGGUAAGGAUGGCAAGCGCCAUAGCCUCGCUGAAGCCGUCAUCCCCCCAGCCGUGGCUGCUGCGGAGGCGCGGCUGGAGAAGAAGAGACAGCGUGCUGCGCUGGCGCAGCCGGAGCGACGGGUGGUGACGAAGAAGAGGGUGGUGGGCGAUGGGGGCAAUAAGGGUUCCAGUGUUGGUGCUGGUGCGGCUACGCGUACGCGCACACGCGCGGGUUCUGGCGCUGGCGCUGGUUCCGGUCGUAGUGGGAAGGAUAAUAAUACCGCCGCCUCACGCCGUCUGAAGGCCAUCGAGUAUCAUGCGGACGACGCGGGCGGGAACGUCGCGGAGAAUCAUGCUAACCAUGAUAAUCAACUCGUCGUUUACGGUGGUGGGAGUAGUAGUGGGGCUAGUGGCGGUUAUAAACGGAGUGAG